rnacentral:ncRNA from 2 species
GAUGCUCUAACGGGGUGCCUUUCCAACGUGACGAUCAUUCGUCUCGGGAAGACGGGCUGAGAGGCUGACAAGCCAACCCGCGGAACCUGAUCCGGUUUGCACCGGCGGAGGGAUUAGACGGCUCGCAAGC